UACGGGGGGGGCAAGCGUUGUUCGGAAUUACUGGGCGUAAAGGGCUCGUAGGCGGCCAACUAAGUCAGACGUGAAAUCCCUCGGCUUAACCGGGGAACUGCGUCUGAUACUGGAUGGCUAGAGGUUGGGAGAGGGAUGCGGAAUUCCAGGUGUAGCGGUGAAAUGCGUAGAUAUCUGGAGGAACACCGGUGGCGAAGGCGACAUCCUGGACCGGCAUUGACGCUGAGGCGCGAAAGCCAGGGGAGCAAACGGG
rnacentral:rRNA from 1 species